GGAGGUGUGGCUCAAUGAUAGAGCAUUUGCCUGGCAUGUGUGAGGCCCUGGGUUCGAUCCUCAGCACCGCAU
rnacentral:tRNA from 1 species